rnacentral:snoRNA from 1 species
AAUUCAUGGUGAAGACAUCUUCUCAUCAAAUCCUUAUACCUCUCCCAAGCCUCAUAUAAUGAUUCGGAAUCAAAUUGCAUGAAAGAAGUGAUAUCAUUCCGCAUCU